rnacentral:rRNA from 1 species
GGUGAAAAGCACCCCGGAAGGGGAGUGAAAUAGAACCUGAAACCGUGUGCUUACAAGUAGUCAGAGCCCGUUAAUGGGUGAUGGCGUGCCUUUUGUAGAAUGAACCGGCGAGUUACGAUUUGAUGCAAGGUUAAGCAGUAAAUGUGGAGCCGUAGCGAAAGCGAGUCUGAAUAGGGCGUUUAGUAUUUGGUCGUAGACCCGAAACCAGGUGAUCUACCCUUGGUCAGGUUGAAGUUCAGGUAACACUGAAUGGAGGACCGAACCGACUUACGUUGAAAAGUGAGCGGAUGAACUGAGGGUAGCGGAGAAAUUCCAAUCGAACCUGGAGAUAGCUGGUUCUCUCCGAAAUAGCUUUAGGGCUAGCCUCAAGUGAUGAUUAUUGGAGGUAGAGCACUGUUUGGACGAGGGGCCCCUCUCGGGUUACCGAAUUCAGACAAACUCCGAAUGCCAAUUAAUUUAACUUGGGAGUCAGAACAUGGGUGAUAAGGUCCGUGUUCGAAAGGGAAACAGCCCAGACCACCAGCUAAGGUCCCAAAAUAUAUGUUAAGUGGAAAAGGAUGUGGCGUUGCCCAGACAACUAGGAUGUUGGCUUAGAAGCAGCCAUCAUUUAAAGAGUGCGUAAUAGCUCACUAGUCGAGUGACACUGCGCCGAAAAUGUACCGGGGCUAAACAUAUUACCGAAGCUGUGGAUUGUCCUUUGGACAAUGGUAGGAGAGCGUUCUAAGGGCGUUGAAGCAUGAUCGUAAGGACAUGUGGAGCGCUUAGAAGUGAGAAUGCCGGUGUGAGUAGCGAAAGACGGGUGAGAAUCCCGUCCACCGAUUGACUAAGGUUUCCAGAGGAAGGCUCGUCCGCUCUGGGUUAGUCGGGUCCUAAGCUGAGGCCGACAGGCGUAGGCGAUGGAUAACAGGUUGAUAUUCCUGUACCACCUAUAAUCGUUUUAAUCGAUGGGGGGACGCAGUAGGAUAGGCGAAGCGUGCGAUUGGAUUGCACGUCUAAGCAGUAAGGCUGAGUAUUAGGCAAAUCCGGUACUCAUUAAGGCUGAGCUGUGAUGGGGAGAAGACAUUGUGUCUUCGAGUCGUUGAUUUCACACUGCCGAGAAAAGCCUCUAGAUAGAAAAUAGGUGCCCGUACCGCAAACCGACACAGGUAGUCAAGAUGAGAAUUCUAAGGUGAGCGAGCGAACUCUCGUUAAGGAACUCGGCAAAAUGACCCCGUAACUUCGGGAGAAGGGGUGCUCUUUAGGGUUAACGCCCAGAAGAGCCGCAGUGAAUAGGCCCAAGCGACUGUUUAUCAAAAACACAGGUCUCUGCUAAACCGUAAGGUGAUGUAUAGGGGCUGACGCCUGCCCGGUGCUGGAAGGUUAAGAGGAGUGGUUAGCUUCUGCGAAGCUACGAAUCGAAGCCCCAGUAAACGGCGGCCGUAACUAUAACGGUCCUAAGGUAGCGAAAUUCCUUGUCGGGUAAGUUCCGACCCGCACGAAAGGCGUAACGAUUUGGGCACUGUCUCAACGAGAGACUCGGUGAAAUCAUAGUACCUGUGAAGAUGCAGGUUACCCGCGACAGGACGGAAAGACCCCGUGGAGCUUUACUGUAGCCUGAUAUUGAAAUUCGGCACAGCUUGUACAGGAUAGGUAGGAGCCUUUGAAACGUGAGCGCUAGCUUACGUGGAGGCGCUGGUGGGAUACUACCCUAGCUGUGUUGGCUUUCUAACCCGCACCACUUAUCGUGGUGGGAGACAGUGUCAGGCGGGCAGUUUGACUGGGGCGGUCGCCUCCUAAAAGGUAACGGAGGCGCUCAAAGGUUCCCUCAGAAUGGUUGGAAAUCAUUCAUAGAGUGUAAAGGCAUAAGGGAGCUUGACUGCGAGACCUACAAGUCGAGCAGGGUCGAAAGACGGACUUAGUGAUCCGGUGGUUCCGCAUGGAAGGGCCAUCGCUCAACGGAUAAAAGCUACCCCGGGGAUAACAGGCUUAUCUCCCCCAAGAGUUCACAUCGACGGGGAGGUUUGGCACCUCGAUGUCGGCUCAUCGCAUCCUGGGGCUGUAGUCGGUCCCAAGGGUUGGGCUGUUCGCCCAUUAAAGCGGUACGCGAGCUGGGUUCAGAACGUCGUGAGACAGUUCGGUCCCUAUCCGUCGUGGGCGUAGGAAAUUUGAGAGGAGCUGUCCUUAGUACGAGAG